GCAAACUUGGUCAUUUAGAGGAAGUAAAAGUCGUAACAAGGUUUCCGUAGGUGAACCUGCGGAAGGAUCAUUACAAGGUACAUAGCCUACCCGGCUAUAACCUCCAACCAUUGUGUACCAAACUUUUGUUGCCUCGGCGGGCUGUCAGCCUACCCGGCUGGCCCCCCUGCGGGAGCCGCCCGCCGAAGGACCUUUCAAACCAGUUCGUUGAUGAACGUCUGAUUUAUUUUCUAAAAAGAAAUACAACUUUCAACAAUGGAUCUCUUGGCUCUGGCAUCGAUGAAGAACGCAGC
rnacentral:misc_RNA from 1 species